UUAACGCAAAUUCGUAUGGAGUUGGAACGUUUGCCUACGUUUGCCGCUAGAGGCGCUGUGCCAACUGCAUACAAAUUCGAGUUA
rnacentral:pre_miRNA from 1 species